GAAGUUCCCAAAUCAAUUUCAUUAUCCGAGGAAGAAGGGAUCCUAAUGGCUUCUGAUGUGUUUUGGUCCAAUAAUGACCCAACUGGAGAGAGCGAAAAAGGCAUGCAGCAGGGUGAUCUUUUGCAGCAGCAAUCGAAUUAUCAGUGUGCAGAGGAUUACCUACAACAUCCUGAUCUAUCCUGCUUUGACAUUGGGGAGAUUGAAGAUGUCGAUGGAGAUUGGUUAGGUUAGCAUGAUUCUUUGGUUUUAUCUCAUAUCAUGCUUUUGAAUCAUGAGAGAAACAUUAUCUUUUUCCCAAUCAAUCAAUAUAUAUAUAUAUAUAUAUA